CCAGAGGGAUGGUGGUCAUUCUUGUCGUGCUGCUGCUCCUGGCCGAGGCUCAGAGUCACCAGAGUUUGACGCUGGAACACAAGACUGUGAGUCCUGGUGAAGAUGUCACUUUGACCUGUGAGCGCAGGGCUAUAACUGACGUGUAUUGGAUCAGACUGGUCCCACACCAGUUUCCAGAGGUCUUUGACAAGUCAUCUGUGGAUGAUAUGAGGAGUCCUCGCAUUAAAACUGAGAAACAAACAAACAAAUUGUUGCUCCGCCUGACUAAAGUGAAGAAACAAGACACUGCAGUUUACAUCUGUGUGGAAGUACUUGACAGAAAAUGGACUUUUAUCAAUGGAACAAAGCUGACAGUUGCAGCCCGACCCAUCACAAGUGACAGACCACCUCCUCACAGGGGACCAGGACCCUCGGAGAGUCUCCACCCGUCUGUCCAGAACCAAACUGACAGAUCCAUCACCUCGUGUGGAGAGAGGUCUGAUGCUGGAGCUGCAGGCUGUAAUUGUGCGUCAGUGGCGAGCGUCUCACUCUCCAUCAUGGCCGCCAUUUUGGCCGUAAGCCUGGUGGUCAUAAUGUUGGAAGCUGAAAAGUGCACGAACUCAAGAAGGCGGUGAUCAGCAGCCACAGGUUCUCGACCACCUGCACCACAUCUGUGUCCUCCCAGUUCAGCGCUCAGCCUUUCUCUGUGUCUCUGCCUCUGUUACAGGAUGACUCGGUGACUUACACCUCACCCAUUCAUUUCAAGGCCAAGUCUGGGGAGAAGAAGAGUGUUAACCCGAGGAAGGAAGAGUGUGUUUACUCCAGAGUCCGGACUGAAA